GAAAAAUGGAUGAUGAUGAAGGUACUUUAAAAGAUUCUAUAAAGGAAUGGAAUUUUGUUCUAGUGUCAUGGAAUAACAAGUUGUUUCCAGGUGUAAUUACCAUUGACGAGGACGGUGAUAUUGUUGAUUGCAUGGAACCGACAAACAAGGCUUGGAAAUGGCCUGGUGAAAAAGAUAUUUUGCACUACAAGUGGUGCGAUAUAAUAAGGAAAAUUACUCCACCUAUACUGAUGAAAAGAGGGUUGUUUUCAGUUCAAGUGUAAAGUUGCUAAUUCAUGCAUUUUCAUGAUCUAUUAGGCUUAGUUAAAAAGAUAUAAAAGAUUUUAAAAUAUUUCAUUCAAGUUUUAUUUCCAAAUCCUAGGCCCUAUUUAAGCCCAAUUCCCAUUAUAAUUGCUUAUUUCAUUGACAAUGUUGCAUGGGUCCAAGUAACACCACCCGGGGGUUACUUGAACCCGAAUUUCAAUAAUUUAUUGUAUCACACAAAAUUUUGGUUCAAUAAACACUUAAAGUCCAAGAAAAAUGUCUCAAAAGUAUCAUAAAUCAGC
rnacentral:lncRNA from 1 species